GGCUGGGAUUGCGAUACGGGGUGAGACAGUCACAUGGGCUCCGGGAGAGAGGGGGUCUGAACGCCCGAGUUGGAGUAUCUAUGCAGACCUUCCUGAUAACAAAUAACUAGGAGGAUAAGGGGUUCCUCCUGACCUGAGGCAGAAAGACGGGAGGAACUGUCUGCUUUGCGAGGUCAGCCAAAAUCUCCCCGCCACCGGGCCCCUAGGGAAUUCUUGGAGGUGGAAAGGAAUCAGGCUUCCCCCAUCAGACCAGGAGCUUCCUGAAGGCUUGAAAUACAUCUCUUCCCCUCUUCUGUAUCCUCUUUAUGGUGCCCAGGAAAGGGUUCUUUUUGCAAGUGGGGAAGGGAGAAGAAAUACUUUCCUCUUGAUAAAAUCAAUGUUCAGAGGUGGUCUGGGUUGCUCAGAGUUAGAAGAGGACCUGGAUGCCAGAAGAUUCCUCCCAAGAAUUUCCUGAGACCUGGAGAAAAUUCUCAUUCCUAGAAUGACUCAAGAGGCAGAGGAAUUAUCCUGAGAUCACCUGGAGACCUGCAGGCAACAGGAGAAGGGAAAAGAAGAUUAAUCUGAUAAGACCAUGUCUACUCAAGUAAAGAGACCUGGCAUGUACAUAGCUAUCUUGGUGGCCCUUCUCCUUGCCAAGGCCAAUCUCUCUACAUGUGCCCUUGAUCUCAUCACCUCCUUUUUCUCCAGAAGAUUUCAUCCUCAAUCAACUCCCUCCCCUUGAGUCUUCAGCCUCUAUUAACUGAUUAAUUUCCUACUGACUUUAAAACAUGCCCAAUCUCCCCAUCCUUAAAAAGCUUCACUAGCUAGAGAGGAUGUGGGAAAACUGGGCACUAAUGCAUU